UUUGCAUAUUUGUUGUUUACUUUACAUAUUUUAGAAAUUAUCCAUCUUUUUUUUUCUCUCAAAAUCUCUUCUACCUUUGGCAUCAAUUGUAGAAACUAAAUGUUUGCUGUAGAGUUCUAUCCUUUAAUCAUAGCUUUUUUUUUCUUUUUCUUUUUUUUAAAAAAAACAAAGUUCUCUUCUCUGCCUCUCUGCCUCCCCACCCAAUAAACCUAGUGGAUGUGUAGUUAUGCCAAGUUGUGGAAAACACAUUUAACACAUUUAAAAAUGUGCAAGGUAAAUGAAAUAUAAAAGUAUGUUAUACCUAAGAUUAAAAUAUUAAUUCGAUUUGGGGAUUUACUAGUCAACAUUUUGGUUUUAUAUGCAUUCAUUCAACUAACUCAUGAUAUCUUGUUGAAAUGAUGCAUUUAAAAUAAUUACUGAUUAAAAGAAAACUAAGGAACUUUUCAGGCUGAGAAUGACAUUAAAUUAUCCUGUUCUUGAGCGCCUCUCAGAGGCAUGGGUUAAAUAACACUAGAAUAUGAAUUUAGGGUCAUUUAGGCUUUUCUGGGCUUUGGUAUGCCUCCAACGGUUAUGAGUAAAAGGAGUAGUCCUUUAACUUGGAGAUUAGAUGUCUCUGGGUCCCAAUUAAGUUUUAUACCAAUUUCCUUUGUAUGGUUCGGCUAUUUGGCACCAUCUUGGUAGAAGAUAGGGAUCCAGGGCCUUUGCUAUCAGUGGAAUGGAUUGAGGAAAGCUUCCUCAUUUAUAAGUCUUGGCUUGGCAAAACAUAGCCUAGCCUUCUUCCUUCCCUUUCCAGACCAGGGCACCACGUGGAGAUAGCGCCGUUUGCUUGGGCUGGCCUUGGACAUUUCAGAGUUCCCCUCUUACUACAUGCUGACAUUAUUCCACAACUCCCCAUGUGCCUUCCCUCACUGCUGCCAAGUGCUCUUGAAAGUCAGCCACCUUCCUGGGUGACUGCUGCUUUCUUACCUCAGGUUAAAUCCAUAGACCCAGUGAAAGUUUUCCCAGGGGCUCCCAUACCUAAGGGUAAUCAUACUUUCUAUAUGUGAAAGGCUAGUUUUCCAGAGUUUUUAUUUCUUGAUGUUAGGUCACUGCAACCCUGGGAUAAAAAUAGAUGUAAUUAGCAUGUUACAGAUCAGACUCUGCACUUGUAGCUUUGUGCCACUUUCUCUAAUAAUACCAAUCUUGGUGACACAUUUCCUAGAAUCCUGGACUUGCUUCAAUCCCUAAAAUCCUCCAAGAGCUGAACUGUAGGACAGACCUGUUUGCUUUAGAAGCUAGAAGGGUUCGGUCCCAAUUAGAUUGUCUCUUUUCCCUGCCUUUCUGGACAUUGCAGGUCCAUCUCCAUUUUCUUGUUUUUAUGAUCAGGGAGCAACGGCUCCAUUCUCCCCUAAGGCUGACAUUUUUGUUGAAGGCUGAGCACACAUGUCUUCCGUCCUUGUGGCAAAAGGCCCUUUCCUGGCUGGCUCCAGAAUCCUCACCAGUUAAUUGGGAAAACAUUUGAGUUAGGCAUCACAAUUUCAGCCGAGCUGGGCAAACAACGAGUACACCUGUCACUCGAGCCAGUGUCCAAAACUCAGCCCCACGGAUCACAGCUGUAGCGUUAUUUCAGCAUGAGCAAUUCAGUAUUUAAUGUUCCUUAGAAAAAAAUAAAUCAUUCCAAGCUGCUACUGUUCACCUGUUAACUCUUUCGGGAUUUCAUGGUGGUGGGGGUGGAAGUGGGGAGUAAUCUAUAAUUUGCUUGGCUAGCAGAGAUAAUACCCCCUUCCCAAGUCUGUCUUUUAAAAGGCCAUUUCUUACAUAAUGGAGAACAGGGGCUGCAAAAACAAUAUCCUCUUGAUCUGUGUCAGCCACUGCCUUCCAGAAUGAGAAGUUAGAUUUUCUUCUUUCGUUUCAUUUAUAUUUUUACCUGCGCAGCACAGGUACUGCUUCCUACAGUCGGCAGCUUCCAUUUCUUUCCUCUUUCCAUGGUAGCUUAAAUUAGCCCGUCAUCAUCAGCAAAUCUUAAUUUACAAUUAAGUGCUGGGGAAAAAAAGUUCGUCAUUAAUCAGACCUCAUUUUAUGUAAAUGGCCCCCAAAAGCAACACACAUUUUUAAUCUGUCCUGCCGAUAGCUAAGCCCUUCUGUCAUUUGGGUCCUAAUAAAUGAAUUGGCCAUCUGCAAUUAAUCUGCAUAGUACAAAUCAUUGGAAGGCCGAGUCUGUCUGCCUUC
ensembl:lncRNA